rnacentral:rRNA from 1 species
GUUGUAUGGUUAAGUGACUAAGCGUACACGGUGGAUGCCUUGGCAGUCAGAGGCGAUGAAAGACGUAGUAACUUGCGAUAAGCCCAGAUUAGGUAGUAACAACCAUUUGAGUCUGGGAUUUCUGAAUGGGGAAACCCACGUGCAUAAGCACGUAUCCUUACCUGAAUACAUAGGGUAAGGAGGCGAACCGGGGGAACUGAAACAUCUAAGUACCCCGAGGAAAAGAAAUCAACCGAGAUUCCGAAAGUAGCGGCGAGCGAAAUUGGACUAGCCCUUAAGCUUUACACGCGUUAGACGAACGGUCUGGAAAGUCCGACGAUACAGGGUGAUAGUCCCGUAGUUGACGACGUGUGUUCAGUGAAAUCGAGUAGGGCGGGACACGUGAUAUCCUGUCUGAAUAUGGGGGGACCAUCCUCCAAGGCUAAAUACUACUGACUGACCGAUAGUGAACCAGUACCGUGAGGGAAAGGCGAAAAGAACCCCUGUGAGGGGAGUGAAAUAGAACCUGAAACCGUGUACGUACAAGCAGUAGGAGCAGGCUUUGUCCUGUGACUGCGUACCUUUUGUAUAAUGGGUCAGCGACUUAUAUUCAGUGGCAAGGUUAACCAUCUAGGGGAGCCGUAGGGAAACCGAGUCUUAACUGGGCGUUCAGUCUCUGGAUAUAGACCCGAAACCAGGUGAUCUAGCCAUGGGCAGGUUGAAGGUUGAGUAACAUCAACUGGAGGACCGAACCGACUAAUGUUGAAAAAUUAGCGGAUGACUUGUGGCUAGGGGUGAAAGGCCAAUCAAACCUGGAGAUAGCUGGUUCUCCCCGAAAGCUAUUUAGGUAGCGCCUCGGACGAAUACUACUGGGGGUAGAGCACUGUUAAGGCUAGGGGGUCAUCCCGACUUACCAACCCUUUGCAAACUCCGAAUACCAGUAAGUACUAUCCGGGAGACACACGGCGGGUGCUAACGUCCGUCGUGGAGAGGGAAACAACCCAGACCGCCAGCUAAGGUCCCAAAUUACUACUAAGUGGGAAACGAUGUGGGAAGGCUCAGACAGCCAGGAUGUUGGCUUAGAAGCAGCCAUCAUUUAAAGAAAGCGUAAUAGCUCACUGGUCGAGUCGGCCUGCGCGGAAGAUGUAACGGGGCUAAGUAGUAAACCGAAGCUGCGGCAAUAUACUUUUGUAUAUUGGGUAGGGGAGCGUUCUGUAAGCGGUUGAAGGUGUGUGGUAACGCAUGCUGGACGUAUCAGAAGUGCGAAUGCUGACAUGAGUAACGAUAAAGGGGGUGAAAAACCUCCUCGCCGGAAGACCAAGGGUUCCUGUCCAACGUUAAUCGGGGCAGGGUAAGUCGACCCCUAAGGCGAGGCCGAAAGGCGUAGUCGAUGGGAAACGGGUUAAUAUUCCCGUACUUCUUACAAUUGCGAUGGGGGGACGGAGAAGGCUAGGUGGGCCUGGCGACGGUUGUCCAGGUUCAAGUGCGUAGGCUUAAGAGUUAGGUAAAUCCGGCUCUUUUUAAGGCUGAGACACGACGUCGAGCAUCUACGGAUGUGAAGUCAUUGAUGCCAUGCUUCCAGGAAAAGCCUCUAAGCUUCAGAUUGUAAGGAAUCGUACCCCAAACCGACACAGGUGGUCGGGUAGAGAAUACCAAGGCGCUUGAGAGAACUCGGGUGAAGGAACUAGGCAAAAUGGUACCGUAACUUCGGGAGAAGGUACGCUCUUGAUGGUGAAGUCCCUUGCGGAUGGAGCUGACGAGAGUCGCAGAUACCAGGUGGCUGCAACUGUUUAUUAAAAACACAGCACUGUGCAAAAUCGUAAGAUGACGUAUACGGUGUGACGCCUGCCCGGUGCCGGAAGGUUAAUUGAUGGGGUUAGACUUCGGUCGAAGCUCUUGAUCGAAGCCCCGGUAAACGGCGGCCGUAACUAUAACGGUCCUAAGGUAGCGAAAUUCCUUGUCGGGUAAGUUCCGACCUGCACGAAUGGCGUAAUGAUGGCCACGCUGUCUCCACCCGAGACUCAGUGAAAUUGAAAUCGCUGUGAAGAUGCAGUGUACCCGCGGCUAGACGGAAAGACCCCGUGAACCUUUACUACAGCUUGGCACUGAACAUUGACCCUACAUGUGUAGGAUAGGUGGGAGGCUUUGAAGCACGUACGCCAGUAUGUGUGGAGCCGUCCUUGAAAUACCACCCUUGUAGUGUUGAUGUUCUAACGUCGACCCCUAAUCGGGGUUGCGGACAGUGCCUGGUGGGUAGUUUGACUGGGGCGGUCUCCUCCCAAAGAGUAACGGAGGAGCACGAAGGUGGGCUAAUCACGGUUGGACAUCGUGAGGUUAGUGCAAUGGCAUAAGCCCGCUUGACUGCGAGAAUGACAAUUCGAGCAGGUGCGAAAGCAGGUCAUAGUGAUCCGGUGGUUCUGAAUGGAAGGGCCAUCGCUCAACGGAUAAAAGGUACUCCGGGGAUAACAGGCUGAUACCGCCCAAGAGUUCAUAUCGACGGCGGUGUUUGGCACCUCGAUGUCGGCUCAUCACAUCCUGGGGCUGAAGUCGGUCCCAAGGGUAUGGCUGUUCGCCAUUUAAAGUGGUACGCGAGCUGGGUUUAGAACGUCGUGAGACAGUUCGGUCCCUAUCUGCCGUGGGCGUUGGAAGAUUGAAGGGGGCUGCUCCUAGUACGAGAGGACCGGAGUGGACGAACCUCUGGUGUUCGGGUUGUGUCGCCAGACGCAUUGCCCGGUAGCUAAGUUCGGAAUCGAUAACCGCUGAAAGCAUCUAAGCGGGAAGCGAGCCCUGAGAUGAGUCUUCCCUGAUACUUUAAGUAUCCUAAAGGGUUGUCGGAGACUACGACGUUGAUAGGUCAGGUGUGUAAGUGCUGUGAGGCAUUGAGCUAACUGAUACUAAUUGCCCGUGAGGCUUAACCAUACAACACCCAAGGGGUUU